CUGGCGGCGUGGAUUAGGCAUGCAAGUCGAACGGGAAAGCUCCCUUCGGGUGGGUGAGUAUAGUGGCGAACGGGUGAGUAACGCGUGGGAAACCUGCCCUUCAGCGGGGGAUAACAGGCCUAACGGCCUGCUAAUACCGCAUACGUCCCCUGGACCACAUGGUCCGGGGAAGAAAGGUGGCCUCUCUUUAGAAGCUGCUACUGAAGGAUGGUCCCGCGUCCCAUUAGCUUGUUGGUGGGGUAAUGGCCUACCAAGGCGACGAUGGGUAGCCGGCCUGAGAGGGUGUCCGGCCACACUGGGACUGAGAUACGGCCCAGACUCCUACGGGAGGCAGCAGUCGAGAAGCUUCCGCAAUGGGCGAAAGCCUGACGGAGCGACGCCGCGUGAACGAAGAAGGUCCUAUGGAUUGUAAAGUUCUGUCAGAUUGGGAAGAAAGUUUUGGGGUUAAUACCCUCAAAAUUUGACGGUACCAUCAGAGGAAGCACCGGCUAACUCCGUGCCAGCAGCCGCGGUAAUACGGAGGGUGCAAGCGUUGUUCGGAUUCACUGGGUAUAAAGGGUGCGCAGGCGGCCUGUUAAGUCAGGGGUGAAAUAUGACGGCUCAACCGUCAAACUGCCCCUGAAACUGCCAGGCUUGAGUCCGGGAGAGGAAGGUGGAAUUCCAGGUGUAGCGGUGAAAUGCGUAGAUACCGGUAGGAACACCAGUGGCGAAGGCGGCCCCCUGGGCUGUUCCUGACGCUGAAUGCGAAAGCUAGGGGAGCAAACGGGAUUAGAAACCCCGGUAGUCCUAGCCGUAAACGAUGGAUACUAGGUGUAGGGGGCGAAAAAUCCUUCUGUGCCGAAGCUAACGCGUUAAGUAUCCCGCCUGGGGAGUACGGCCGCAAGGCUAAAACUCAAAGGAAUUGACGGGGACCCGCACAAGCAGCGGAGCUUGUGGUUUAAUUCGAUGCAAAGCGAAGAACCUUACCUGGGUUUGACAUGCACGUGGUAGGGAACCGAAAGGGGACCGACCUUCGGGAGCGUGCACAGGUGCUGCAUGGCUGUCGUCAGCUCGUGCCGUGAGGUGUCGGGUUAAGUCCCGUAACGAGCGCAACCCUUGCCCUUAGUUACAAGUGUCUAAGGGGACUGCCCGGGACAACUGGGAGGAAGGUGGGGAUGACGUCAAGUCAGCAUGGCCUUUAUAUCCAGGGCUACACACACGCUACAAUGGCCGGUACAAUAGGUUGCGAAGUCGUGAGGCGGAGCCAAUCCUCAAAGCCGGUCUCAGUUCGAAUUGCAGUCUGCAACUCGACUGCAUGAAGCUGGAGUUGCUAGUAAUCGCAGGUCAGCUAUACUGCGGUGAAUACGUUCCCGGGCCUUGUACACACCGCCCGUCACGUCAUGGAAG
rnacentral:rRNA from 1 species